GAUGAACGCUGGCGGCGUGCUUAACACAUGCAAGUCGAACGAAGCACUUUAUUUGAUUUCCUUCGGGACUGAUUAUUUUGUGACUGAGUGGCGGACGGGUGAGUAACGCGUGGGUAACCUGCCUUGUACAGGGGGAUAACAGUUGGAAACGGCUGCUAAUACCGCAUAAGCGCACGGCAUCGCAUGAUGCAGUGUGAAAAACUCCGGUGGUAUAAGAUGGACCCGCGUUGGAUUAGCUAGUUGGUGAGGUAACGGCCCACCAAGGCGACGAUCCAUAGCCGACCUGGGAGGGUGACCGGCCACAUUGGGACUGAGACACGGCCCAAACUCCUACGGGAGGCAGCAGUGGGGAAUAUUGCACAAUGGGCGAAAGCCUGAUGCAGCGACGCCGCGUGAGCGAAGAAGUAUUUCGGUAUGUAAAGCUCUAUCAGCAGGGAAGAUAAUGACG
rnacentral:rRNA from 1 species